rnacentral:rRNA from 1 species
AUUGAACGCUGGCGGCAGGCCUAACACAUGCAAGUCGAGCGAGCGGCGGACGGGUGAGUACUGUCUGGGAAAAUGACUGAUGGAGGGGGAUAACUACUGGAAACGGUAGCUAAUACAGCAUACCAUCGGAUGUGCCCAUAUGGGAUUAGCUGGUAGGUGGGGUUACGGCUACAUUAGGCGACGAUCCCUAUCUGGUCUGAGAGGAUGACCAGCCACACUGUAACUGAGACACGGUCCAUGCUCCUACGGGAGGCAGCAGUGCGGAAUAUUUCACAAUGGGCUCAAGCCUGAUGCAGCCAUGCCGCGUGUGUGAAGAAGGCCUUCGGGUUGUAAAGCACUUUCAGCGGGGAGGCGUUACCCGCAGAAGAAGCACCGGCUAACUCCGUGCCAGCAGCCGCGGUAAUUC